AUGCCCCUCCUUGUGAUUCCUUUCCUUUCCUUUCCUUUGUUUUCUGUGCAGGUUGCAGGGAAGGAGGCCAGCUGCUGCUCCUACUGCUUCGGGUGGACGAGGACGAGCCCUCCCUCAUCGCUGCUGCGGCUGCCUACUCCCUCCUCCUACCCCGGCGACGAGGUGUAUGGCGCCGGCACGGCCGUGCUCGAGCGCCUCCAGGACCCCGCAGAGGAGAAUCAAGGCGUGGCGCCUCCUGGACUCCGUCCGUCGCCACUUUGUCGACGACGUCCCUGCCGCCGGGCAGGAAGGGAGGACGUGAGCUGCCGCCUUGGUUCCUGUCCGCACCAGCCGCCACAGUAUGCCUGCAAGGAGGACAUUGUAAUUUGGUCCAACAAGAUGCAGGUACAUGACACUAUUGUGUUGUCUGCAGAGGUUCUCAUUCUGAAAGAAACUGCAACUAUGCAAGAGCUUAUUGACGGAGAUUAUGAAAUUUGCAGUUCAAGUUCUGGACAUCAGAUUGGAUAUACUUUACUAAAGGUGCACCAAUCGGCCCUCCAUCUCCUAGGAUUGAUGCGUCAUGCUCGGGCAAUAAUAGUCCAAGCUUCAUCGUGUAAUAAGCUCACCUGCGUGCACAGUCUGAUUGCUACUAUCUACUCUUAUGUAGAGAAGCGAGGCCUUUUCAUAUUUGAGGAAGAAUGUCAUGCAACCAAGAAGAAUAGGAUGGGUAUUCUAGUAAUCCUGUGGAUUAGUCUCUAUAGUUGUUGGCGGCCUAUAAAGCAGAGGAAUUUGUUGGUCUCGAGGAUUGUUCCAGGAAGCACUUCUGAUGACAACAUGACGUUGGGCCUCGGGGACAUGGUCUCAAACUUGUGCAGUGCCCGCCGGGUCACGCUCAGCAGCAACGGUGCACGGCGAUGGGAAAGAAGCAGGGGUGGCGGGAUCAUCACCAGUGGGGUCAUCGGGGAGAAGAUGGAGGCAGAUAAGAAAGGAACGGGCUCGGUUGGGUGUGGAAAGGAGAAUGAGAGAGACAACGAUGAUGUGAAUGUUACAAUGACAUCUGCACAUCGUCGCUUCUUAUCUCCCAGCCGCCACCUGCACAGGGCACACUCCGACCAUGCAACCGCCAAGGUCGCUGACCACAUUGUGCACGUCUACGCCAUCGACCUCGGCGGACGGUGCCGCAAUGUUCGUCAGUAUGUCCGGUUGGUCGAGGAGCGCCAAGGAAGUGGGCCGAGGGGGCGUGGGGGCGGCGGCAGAAGCAGCAUGGGUGUCCUACGCAAGUUACAGAACAAUAGGAAAGGAUGGAGGCAAGAUGGGGCCAUAGAGCCCCCUUUUGCGCAGGAGGGAGUAGGUCUCAGCCGAAGGCAACAAUUAUGGCUGCUUCCAGAGCCUAAGCCACCUGCGGAGUCAAUGUCAUGGUCGCCCCAGAGCGGAAUCCAUCGCCUAGGCCACAAGAGUAGGAGCUGCUGUCGUAGAGGUCAGGACCAAGCUUUAGGCAGGAAAGUGGGACAAUCUUCAGAAAAACCAACAGGAAUAUUUUUCUUAGAAAUCCCAAGGAAAAAUAAGUUUGGUAUCUGCUACAAUGGAAAUCUUUUGAUUGUUUUGUACAUAUAUUAUCAUGGAUGCCAAAUAGCAGGUUGCUUCAAACCAGGGGAACUGGCUGUUGGCGCCACCGGGCAACAAGAGAAAGAGGUAGGCAUGGAGCUUGCGUGCCUGUCGGCAGCGCACAGAGGGUGCAGGAGGCCAGGGAGCUACGCUACAACACAACUAACUGCUACUCGUGUUGCCAUCUCGUGCUCAUGGUAUGCCUCUGCAAUUGCCGACGACCGCGCUGUUGAUGUCCCUGCGUCAUCCAAUUCUCGUUCAAAUCCAUCACUUGCGUGCUGCGGGUCCUGGACAUGGCGUGGACAAUGGCGCGAUGGCGGGGCGCACGCUUGUCGCCGCUCCAGCGCCGUCAGCCACACCCGCUUCGGCGGCUCGCCCCUAUAUCCAUUUGUUGGCCCGUGGAUAUUAGGGAGAAGCUUUUCUCCACAUAUCGAAUUUCACCUUAAUCGUACCGAUUACAAAGGCGGUAAGCAUAGCGGCCUUGACAAAAACAAGUCUGAUCCUCUCAAGCCAGAUUUCCUACAAAGUGAGGAUGAUUGGGGAGUCCACCUCCGCCUGUUGUUACCGUGCACCGCCAAAGACGCCGAGGCCCACCAUUCAUGGAUCAUCGCUGCGCGCAGGGGUAAAAUUGUGAAGCCUCUGCGACGCUCCCACAUCGUUAGCUUGGUGAAAAGAUUUAACUCAAGAGGAACCCAGGAGGACCAAAGAGAGGUCGCGCAAGGAGAAAAUCCCUGCCAAAGAAGAAAGCUGCAUAUGUCGAUCGGGUCAUUGCAGAAAGGCGCCACGAGAACUCGUCUUGUUCCUCUGAAACAACAUGAAGCUGCAGUCACUCCUAGAUCGGGAGAAACUCCGUGA
rnacentral:rRNA from 1 species